rnacentral:rRNA from 1 species
UACGUAGGUGACGAGCGUUAUCCGGAAUUACUGGGCGUAAAGCGCACGCAAGCGGUUGGACAAGUCUGGCGUGAAAUCUCCUGGCUUAACUAGGAGCGGUCGCUGGAAACUGUUCGGCUUGAGGCGAUGAGAGGGGUGCAGAAUUCCCGGUGUAGUGGUGGAAUGCGUAGAGAUCGGGAGGAAUACCAGUGGCGAAAGCGGCACCCUGGCGUCGUACUGACGCACAUGUGCGAAAGCGUGGGGAGCGAACGGG